rnacentral:rRNA from 1 species
UACGAAGGGGGCUAGCGUUGUUCGGAAUUACUGGGCGUAAAGCGCACGUAGGCGGACCUGCAAGUCGGGGGUGAAAGCCCGAGGCUCAACCUCGGAACUGCCUUCGAUACUGCGGGUCUCGAGUCCGGGAGAGGUGAGUGGAAUUCCUAGUGUAGAGGUGAAAUUCGUAGAUAUUAGGAAGAACACCAGUGGCGAAGGCGGCUCACUGGCCCGGUACUGACGCUGAGGCGCGAAAGCGUGGGGAGCAAACAGG